GGUGUUAACAAACAGCAGGUGAUUAAACAUGACAAGCGGUGACAUUUCUGUGCAGGGUUCUCAGUCCCGGCAAUGCCAAGAAUGAAGCUAUAAAGCCUGACAUUUUGUGUUAUGCACUGAGAGGUUUUUAAUAGACCUCUCUCCCUCUUCUCCAGUCAACUUCUCUUUCCCUCCUGCGCCUCCCCGCCCCGUCAUCCCCACUGCCCCCACAGUCUGUCCCUUUGCUUUGAUCUCUCCUGUUGCCCUGGGUGUUCCCCCCCCCCCAUCCUUCACUCCCUCACCUCCUUUUUUUGGGUCCUGAUCUCACAGCCUCGCCCUUUGCUGCGGCUGUCCCAGUUGUCCGCCACGGCAGGUGGCCGUCCCCGUGCCCUCUGUGUGUUAAUCACAUUUUCAGACAGACUUGAUAGUGGGUGUAGGGAGAUCGCGGGGCUUGGGAUGGGAUCUUCCUCCAUCUUUUUUUUCGAUUUCCUUUUCUCCUUUUUGGGACAGUGACAAGAGUAGAGCGAGAGAAUCACACUGUACUACAAACAGUUGCUGGAUUUAUUCAGCAAGGGCCUGGCCGGCAACAGUUGUUCCUCUCCCAGAGAAAUGUGGGAACAACUGGGGCCUCUUUUGUUCUCCAGGCAGAGCCCUGUGAAGGGCAUUUGGAGGUGAGCCCGAGGCUCAAGAGGGCCACAGACCCAAGAGAAGGGGUUUCAGCCUCAGUCCCGCCCAAGGAGUCCCCACCCUCCUAGGUAGGAAAGGCCCUGGAGCCACAGGGCUUGGUACAGAAGUCAGGCCACACCCCCGAGCCCAGCUCUUCCGCUAGUGAACUUCGUUCUCUGUCAGUAAAGAUUUAUCGGGUCAGGCGCUGGGCUUGAAGGGUGGUCCUGUCCCACUGCUAGAUCUCGCAGUCGAGCAAGACAGAGGGUUGUUAGCACAGUUAUUACAGAAGGGCUGUCUAAAGGAGCAGGGUGCGACAAGAGGACAGAGGAAGGGGGCCCUGCAGUUUGGGAGGCUUCCCGGAAGAAGUGAAAUUUCAGCCAGGACCCCUGAGGGAUGGAUGCCCAGGAGCAGGGGUAGCCAGGCCCAAGUUGAAGGAGGAAGUGGGGGUGAGCGGCAGGUGCCCCCUGCUCCACGGGGGCUGGCUGGCAGCUGGAGAUGGAUGGGGAGCUCACUCACCCUGCUGUGGCUGUGCCCCUUCGAGCUCUGGGCAACUGACCCGGAACCUGCUCUUCCAACCACCCUUCUACCAACUCGACCUGUCUGUGCCAGGCGUGCGUCAGGGGCAGAGUCGGGGUUUGGCUCAGCUCUGCCCCAGGGGGAGGGACAGCGACCAGGAAGUCAAGUGCCAUCAACGACUGGGGCUGCUCCUGCCUCUCCUGGUCCCCUCUGCCAAUGACUCACUGAAGAGGGGGCAGGAGAGAGGAUGCAGACUUGCCCAGAGGGUGGGGUGGCUGGAGGAGCAGGAGCCCAGGGGAGUCACACCCCACCCCCGCCCCUGCCACUUUAUGUACACCAGGGAGCCCUCCUAGGACUCAUAGUUGGCCUCACCUCUGCACCCUCAGUGGUGUGGAGGCUGCUUUGGUGCUGGUGUGUCUUCCCCAUUAAAACCUCGGCUCCCCAGUACCUGAAACCAUUCUCCCUGGGUCCCUAGGGCCAGCGGAGACCGUGCCCGUAGGUACUUGGGAGAUGUUGGAGAAACUCAACCGACCCAGGAAGAGGAGGACUUGAGUUUAACCAUGAGUCCAAGUCCCCCCAGGAGCCUGCAGACCAACCCUGAGUCCCUGGUGUCCAGGAAGACUGGCUCCUGAGGCCCAGGUUCAGCUACCUCUCCCCACGCCAGGGUCCUUCAGCCUUUGCCGUGGGGCAGCCCUAAAGCCUGCUUACGGGAGGAACCUCACCAAUCCUUUAGGAUGCUUCCAGCGGUCAGGCCCGGGACACCCUGCCUGCAUCCGGGUUCCCUGAGAAGGAGGACCUAUUUGGCUUCCUGUCCCCAUAAAGGGUCCAGGGCUGGAUUCAGCCAUAACUCCCCUUCGCCACCCCAUCCCGGGCCUGCCUUUCUGCCAGGUUUGGCCUGGGUCCCACAUGCUAGCCCUCGUCAUCCAAUUUCCACAGUCCAGAAAGGGCCCUUGGCAGCUCAGAGGGCGGGGCAGGCUGAAAGGGGAGGUGAGGGGAGUCCCAGAGCGAGGACUUGGCCCUCUGCCCCUGUAGAUCCGGAGCCAGGUUUUCCUGUAAUCCCCACAUCCUGUUGCAGAUCCUUAAUCAGCUGGAGCCCAGGUUAGGCCGACCCCGUGGCGACACUCAGGGCUGUAGCGUGGAAAUCCUGAAGUGGAGCUUCCGGAGUUGAGGUUGGGGGCUGUGAGGAGGAGGCAGGCGGAGGGGGGGAGAAGGGAGCCAGUGCAGGCACAGGAUGUGGACAGCACCCAGACCCGCCACCCACCCGACCCAGGCCAGGGCUGGAGGAGCAGAGCAGCUGUUGCAGGCUGGGAAUGGGGAUACAGGAGGGUGAACAGGGGCCCGCACGAGGGCCCCCCAAGAGCGCCAGGGUCUGGGGGGGCUGCUCCAGACAGCCGGUCCUGGAGUCGCUCUGAGGGUAGGCGAGGACUCCAGCCAGGAAACAGCGGAGAGGUGACCCUGGGUGCCGUUGGUUUCAGGGGUCUUUUCCGGCCAGGGUGAAGUCCCAAGGCCAGAAGUGGUCCUGCCCCACUGGGAGCUCUGCUUCGUGAGGAGGGAGGAGGCAGAGGGCCCAGGAGACCCGUCUGCCUGUCUGCCCGGGUUUGGGAGCAGCAGGGGCCCCUCAGCAGGGAAACAGGAUCCCAGGAUGGGCCAUCCUUUCGAGGGAACAGCUGACCCGCAGCCCAGCCUAGUGGUGCAGCCCUGGCAUGGGUCAGGGGAGGAGUUGGGGGCCGGGGAAGGUGUACCCUCCUAGACCCAAGGAGAGGGACGGAGGAGGUGAGGGGGGAUGCCUGGGCCCGAGAUGGCCAUGGAGCAGAAGCCAGGAGCGGGCUGGCUGGCUGGCAGCGGGCGGGCAGACGGGCGUCUGUCCUGCCAGGGGCCCAGGCUGGCUGUGCAGACAGCCUCUUUUCUAUAUGGAAAUGAAGAAUUUAGGCUAAUGGAGCUCAACCAUCUCUAAUUUUGCGAUGGCAGGAGGAUUUUGAUUGAAAGUAAUUAAGCAAGCUAGCUGUAAAAUUAAUUAAAGCAAAAGGGGGGGAUUUUUUAUUGGAUUGGAUAGCGAUAUAGCGUCUGUCAGGCGGGGGACGGAUGGGGGUGACCUGAAUCCUCUGCCCUCCCCCCUCCCACUCGGGACGUUUAUGUCACUUUAAUCUCCUUACAGCGGCUGCUGUGCAUUUGUUUGAAAUAAUCAAGGAAAUAUGGUCAGAAAUUGUCAGCUUUCAGAUCUAAUUUACCUGACGGCCCCUGCGCGAGCCGGCAUGGCCCAGGGAGUGAGCGCGCGUGAGCGGGUGGGGGAGCCCGAGUGGGCGCAGAGGACACGGGGCUGUCCGGCCCCCUCCCCCAGCCCCCGGCCCCCUCUGAGGGCACAGAAGGUGCUUCCCGGCCUGCGGGCACCUCCCUGGCACCGGCCCCAACCCCCACCCACCUGCUGCCUCCCCCUUGAGCUGUAACCAGCUUUGGGUUUAGGGACGAUAGGAUCAGAGAGGUGACGGUAAUUCCUUACUCCAGAUGGCUGACAACUGCUAAACCCCUCCACCAGGGCCGCAGUUUUAAAAAUACUCCUAAAUUAGUCCCCUCAUGUCCUCGUCAUUGGCCUCAUUGGCAAGGGGAUUGUGGAGAUGGGCUGUAGGGAGGGUGGGGUGACAGUGUCAUCCAGACCACCCCUGUGCCACCUGCUGCCAUCCCCCCCACCACCCCCCGCCGACUUCUCUCCAGGGACUGCUUUAAGGCUGGGCUCCCCUGCCAGGGCCCUUUCUCCCAGCCCCCUCCCCUCCUUCCAGAAUGACACUCACCCUGUUUCCCUUUCAUAAUAAACACAGCUCACAGGUGUCGGGGUGGGGGUGGGAGGUUCAGCCCCUGAAGGAGGAAGCUCCUCCCCCCGACCCUUGAGCUCAAAUCCCUGUGCCACACGGUCACCUGCCCAAAUCCUACCCGUUUCCAGUGGAUAAGCCUGGUUGUAGAGCCGUGUGCCUCUGGUGCUUUCCUGGGAGUCGAGCCUGAGUUCCAGACCCUGAACUCUAGGGGUGCUGGUUCUGAGCCACUGGAGGUCCUUCGCCAGGCAGGCCAGUGUGGGGCUUAGGGAACCCUUAUGGUAUUUGGGGCUGAUGGGCUCUAGUCUCCAAGGGCUACAGAAGAUCCUCCCUUAAAACACGAGCGUAGAACAGUUUGAUCUGCUGAUCGCCAGAGGGCCCAGACCAGGAACUGGGUCUCUGGGUUUGUUUGGUCCUGCCAAGAAGGUGAUCCGGGCUUUGCCACAGGUCUCUCUGCCUCUCGGGCCUCAGACGCCUUCCAAUUCUAAAGUUCUGUGCAAAUCUAGGCCAGCCUCUGCCCUGAGAGUCGCCACCUUUCUGGCCCCAGAGCUCCUUGCCAGGCCCCAGGGGGCAUGGGAGAAGGUGGGGGCUUCUAGAAACAGAGCAGCUUAGGAAGCGCAGCCUGCUCCCAGUUUGCCCACCUUAGAGCGAGCCUGUCCGAAGGCCUCUGUCCCCACCUGUCCUUCCGGGGGCCCCACCUCCUGCCAGUCCUCCCCCUAACCCCAGCACACCUUCCCUGCCCCUCCUCCAAGCUGUGGCGCUGAGUGCAGUGUCAGCCUCCUCCAGCAUUGAGGGGGGGUUGAGCUCCCGCCCCUCCAGCCUGGCUCCUGAGUUGAGCCGCUGGGGGCUUGGGGAGCCUUGCCUGCCCCCCUUCUCAAGCUCUCUCAGUGUGACCCUCUGCUCCACUGCAAGUCAGGGACGGGAGCCCCAAAGAACUCUGCCUGGGAGGGCGGGAAAGGAAAGCCACUGGCUCUUCUCCACGUCUUUGGGGCAACAUUCUCUGUGCCCCAAGCCUAGGCAGCACUGAGAUCCUUGGGGCCUCGUGCACUCCCCUACCUGCAAGGGCCUUGGUGAGAGGCGGUAGCAUGGCCAGGCACCCUGGAGGCCCAGCCAGAGCGAGUUCCGGUCCUUUGUGCCCACCAGCCGCCCAGGAACCAGGUCCCGGGAGACACGAGGUAGAGAGAGCCCCUGGCCUCAGCCUAGUGUCUCACUCCAUGAGUGGCAUGCAGCUGCGCAGCUCAGCCCCUGCAGCCAGGAGCCUGGGCCUGGGCUGGUCCAGGCUGCCGAUGGCAGGCCCCAAGGUGGAGGGAGGGUGCGGCAGAGCUAGGAUCCCGGGCAGGGUGGCGCACCGAGGCCUGAGGGAGGUGGAGAAGGCCAAGAGCAGUCAGGAGAGCGUGGUCGUGGUCCGGUUGCUGUCCCCACGUAGGACCCUUUGCACUGCCCUGGUGGGGAGAAACUGAGUGGAGGAUGCUCGCCUGGAAAACCACUCGCGACUAGUGCUCCGCGGAAGGCGAGAACACUGAUCUCCAGAGGCUGUCUUUGGAGAGGAAGGACAGGCGUGGGCAGCGGGCAGUGAGGGCAGCAAGACUGGCCAGGGGCGCUGGGGUUUAAGGUCAGAGGACGGCCCCAGGAGGGUACCCCUCUGGCAUAGCCUGCCACAGCCGGGGCCCAGGGGCUCUGGGAGAAGGAAGGAGUGAGAGGGCAGCUUGGGGAACUGGUAAGCCUGGGGCCAGCGCAUCACCUGGCUGGCAUGAGAUAACACGCAUGCCUGUGGCCACUAAGGGCUCCUGCUGUCCCUUCUUCCCCCGCUCCCAAGGCUUUGAGGGAAAAGUGCUGGGCUUGCUGACCUUGUCCAGGUGAAGCCCCUCCUCUCCCCGAGGCUCCUCCCUCUUUCUCUGUUUCCCACACCCAGCCAGGGAUCUGAGCCUCUAAGUAGAAGUUAUGCAGGGAGAACAGGGGUGGGGGAAGUUCCCCUUGUGGCUCAGUGGUAACGAACCUGACUAGUAAUAUGAGGACAUGUGUUUGAUCCCUGGUCCUGCUCAGUGGGUUAAGGAUCCAGCUUUGCCUUGAGCUGUGGGGUAGGCCACAGACGCGGCUUGGAUCCCAAGUUGCUUUGGCUGUAGCAUCCACCAGCAGCUACAGCUCUGAUUCAGCCCCUUGCCUGGGAACUUCCAUAUGCCGCAGGUACAGCCCUAAAAA
rnacentral:lncRNA from 1 species